rnacentral:rRNA from 1 species
GUUAUAUGGUCAAGUGAAGAAGCGCAUACGGUGGAUGCCUUGGCAGUCAGAGGCGAUGAAAGACGUGGUAGCCUGCGAAAAGCUUCGGGGAGUCGGCAAACAGACUUUGAUCCGGAGAUCUCUGAAUGGGGGAACCCACCUAGGAUAACCUAGGUAUCUUGUACUGAAUCCAUAGGUGCAAGAGGCGAACCAGGGGAACUGAAACAUCUAAGUACCCUGAGGAAAAGAAAUCAACCGAGAUUCCCUUAGUAGUGGCGAGCGAACGGGGAUUAGCCCUUAAGCUUCAUUGAUUUUAGCGGAACGCUCUGGAAAGUGCGGCCAUAGUGGGUGAUAGCCCCGUACGCGAAAGGAUCUUUGAAGUGAAAUCGAGUAGGACGGAGCACGAGAAACUUUGUCUGAACAUGGGGGGACCAUCCUCCAAGGCUAAAUACUACUGACUGACCGAUAGUGAACCAGUACCGUGAGGGAAAGGCGAAAAGAACCCCGGAGAGGGGAGUGAAAUAGAACCUGAAACCGUAUGCGUACAAGCAGUGGGAGCCUACUUGUUAGGUGACUGCGUACCUUUUGUAUAAUGGGUCAGCGACUUAUAUUCAGUGGCAAGCUUAACCGUAUAGGGUAGGCGUAGCGAAAGCGAGUCUUAAUAGGGCGUUUAGUCGCUGGGUAUAGACCCGAAACCGGGCGAUCUAUCCAUGAGCAGGUUGAAGGUUAGGUAACACUGACUGGAGGACCGAACCCACUCCCGUUGAAAAGGUAGGGGAUGACUUGUGGAUCGGAGUGAAAGGCUAAUCAAGCUCGGAGAUAGCUGGUUCUCCUCGAAAGCUAUUUAGGUAGCGCCUCAUGUAUCACUCUGGGGGGUAGAGCACUGUUUCGGCUAGGGGGUCAUCCCGACUUACCAAACCGAUGCAAACUCCGAAUACCCAGAAGUGCCGAGCAUGGGAGACACACGGCGGGUGCUAACGUCCGUCGUGAAAAGGGAAACAACCCAGACCGCCAGCUAAGGUCCCAAAGUUGUGGUUAAGUGGUAAACGAUGUGGGAAGGCUUAGACAGCUAGGAGGUUGGCUUAGAAGCAGCCACCCUUUAAAGAAAGCGUAAUAGCUCACUAGUCGAGUCGGCCUGCGCGGAAGAUGUAACGGGGCUCAAACCACACACCGAAGCUGCGGGUGUCACGUAAGUGACGCGGUAGAGGAGCGUUCUGUAAGCCUGUGAAGGUGAGUUGAGAAGCUUGCUGGAGGUAUCAGAAGUGCGAAUGCUGACAUGAGUAACGACAAUGGGUGUGAAAAACACCCACGCCGAAAGACCAAGGGUUCCUGCGCAACGUUAAUCGACGCAGGGUUAGUCGGUUCCUAAGGCGAGGCUGAAAAGCGUAGUCGAUGGGAAACAGGUUAAUAUUCCUGUACUUCUGGUUACUGCGAUGGAGGGACGGAGAAGGCUAGGCCAGCUUGGCGUUGGUUGUCCAAGUUUAAGGUGGUAGGCUGAAAUCUUAGGUAAAUCCGGGGUUUCAAGGCCGAGAGCUGAUGACGAGUCGUCUUUUAGAUGACGAAGUGGUUGAUGCCAUGCUUCCAAGAAAAGCUUCUAAGCUUCAGGUAACCAGGAACCGUACCCCAAACCGACACAGGUGGUCGGGUAGAGAAUACCAAGGCGCUUGAGAGAACUCGGGUGAAGGAACUAGGCAAAAUGGCACCGUAACUUCGGGAGAAGGUGCGCCRGCUAGGGUGAAGGAUUUACUCCGUAAGCUCUGGCUGGUCGAAGAUACCAGGCCGCUGCGACUGUUUAUUAAAAACACAGCACUCUGCAAACACGAAAGUGGACGUAUAGGGUGUGACGCCUGCCCGGUGCCGGAAGGUUAAUUGAUGGGGUUAGCGCAAGCGAAGCUCUUGAUCGAAGCCCCGGUAAACGGCGGCCGUAACUAUAACGGUCCUAAGGUAGCGAAAUUCCUUGUCGGGUAAGUUCCGACCUGCACGAAUGGCGUAACGAUGGCGGCGCUGUCUCCACCCGAGACUCAGUGAAAUUGAAAUCGCUGUGAAGAUGCAGUGUAUCCGCGGCUAGACGGAAAGACCCCGUGAACCUUUACUGUAGCUUUGCACUGGACUUUGAGCCUGCUUGUGUAGGAUAGGUGGGAGGCUUUGAAGCGUGGACGCCAGUUCGCGUGGAGCCAUCCUUGAAAUACCACCCUGGCAUGCUUGAGGUUCUAACUCUGGUCCGUGAUCCGGAUCGAGGACAGUGUAUGGUGGGCAGUUUGACUGGGGCGGUCUCCUCCUAAAGAGUAACGGAGGAGUACGAAGGUGCGCUCAGACCGGUCGGAAAUCGGUCGCAGAGUAUAAAGGCAAAAGCGCGCUUGACUGCGAGACAGACACGUCGAGCAGGUACGAAAGUAGGUCUUAGUGAUCCGGUGGUUCUGUAUGGAAGGGCCAUCGCUCAACGGAUAAAAGGUACUCCGGGGAUAACAGGCUGAUACCGCCCAAGAGUUCAUAUCGACGGCGGUGUUUGGCACCUCGAUGUCGGCUCAUCACAUCCUGGGGCUGAAGCCGGUCCCAAGGGUAUGGCUGUUCGCCAUUUAAAGUGGUACGCGAGCUGGGUUUAGAACGUCGUGAGACAGUUCGGUCCCUAUCUGCCGUGGACGUUUGAGAUUUGAGAGGGGCUGCUCCUAGUACGAGAGGACCGGAGUGGACGAACCUCUGGUGUUCCGGUUGUCACGCCAGUGGCAUUGCCGGGUAGCUAUGUUCGGAAAAGAUAACCGCUGAAAGCAUCUAAGCGGGAAACUUGCCUCAAGAUGAGAUCUCACUGGGAACUUGAUUCCCCUGAAGGGCCGUCGAAGACUACGACGUUGAUAGGCUGG